ACGAGCUGGACGAGGCCGAGGAGAGGGCUGACAUUGCGGAGUCCCAGGUCAACAAGCUGCGCGCCAAGACCCGUGAAGUGGGCUCCAAGAAAGGGCUUGAUGAAGAGUGAAGCUCUCAGAUGGACCUUUCUGAAAACCUCUAGUCUGCUGUGCUUUAGUCCCCCUCCGCUUUCUCUCUGCCCUUCCUCUAAUUCUGUAGAAUAAAACUGGUUUCAAAAGCA